UACGUAGGGUGCAAGCGUUGUCCGGAAUUAUUGGGCGUAAAGAGCUCGUAGGCGGUGUGUCGCGUCGGUCGUGAAAACUUGGGGCUUAACUCUGAGCUUGCGGUCGAUACGGGCAUCACUGGAGUUCGGCAGGGGAGACUGGAAUUCCUGGUGUAGCGGUGAAAUGCGCAGAUAUCAGGAGGAACACCGGUGGCGAAGGCGGGUCUCUGGGCCGGCAUUGACGCUGAGGCGCGAAAGCUAGGGGAGCAAACGGG
rnacentral:rRNA from 1 species